AUUGAACGCUGGCGGCAUGCUUUACACAUGCAAGUCGAACGGUAACAGGCCUUCGGGUGCUGACGAGUGGCGAACGGGUGAGUAAUGCAUCGGAACGUACCCAGAGGUGGGGGAUAACGCAGCGAAAGCUGUGCUAAUACCGCAUGUGAUCUGAGGAUGAAAGCGGGGGACCGAGCAGCAAUGUUUGGCCUCGCGCCUUUGGAGCGGCCGAUGUCGGAUUAGCUAGUUGGUGGGGUAAAGGCCUACCAAGGCGACGAUCCGUAGCUGGUCUGAGAGGACGACCAGCCACACUGGGACUGAGACACGGCCCAGACUCCUACGGGAGGCAGCAGUGGGAAAUUUGGACAAUGGGCGCAAGCCUGAUCCAGCAAUGCCGCGUGCGGGAAGAAGGCCUUCGGGUUGUAAACCGCUUUUGGCAGGAACGAAACGGUGUCCGCUAAUACCGGGCGCUAAUGACGGUACCUGCAGAAUAAGCACCGGCUAACUACGUG
rnacentral:rRNA from 1 species